UUUCUCAAACUAACAACAAAAAAUCAAGACUUUUAUUUGCCUCCUAUUUCGCUGGUAACAAAAUUGACAGUGAACUCCGAAUACGGAAUAUUGUAGUAACAAAUUUUACAGCAUGGUGAAUUUUAAUACCAAAGUAAAUUUUGUUACCUCGACAGAAUAGCCCUGUGAAUGGAGUUAAAUUGAUAACACGAAGCGUCGUUUACUUAGAGCUAUCAUGCAAUAUCAAUAUAAUCGUCAAAUCUAAACAUUAGCCACUGCUUUAAUAUAUUAUCUUUUACAAGUCAAUGGAGUUAAGUAAAUCUUUACUUGUGAGCGUGCAAUUUACUUUUAUUUGGAACGGUAUCCGGUUUUGUACCGAGCAGAAAAGAAGAGUAUCCAACAAAAAUUCCUGGAAAAAGCUAUCCAUUUGGAUUCGAAUAGAUCAAAACGGCAACAUUGCUGUCGAUUUCAAUGCAAAUUAUACAGAAACGGUUGACGGUACGGCAACAAGGCAGUGAAUUUGUGUACAACAUAUCGAUGCGGCAAAUAGGAAAACAUCAUAAAUCUAAUCCAGAGUUUUGUUUUGAUUCUCGCGACGGUGACAACACUGCCCGCUCGGAGCCUGUUCGCUCGUGAAAAAAGCGAUUUCUUGGUAUUGCCAUCUAAUAUCGGCUAAAAAACUUAGAUACAUUUUACAAAAAAAAAAAAGACCAUAUUAUAAAUAGACGUUUAGUUAUUAAAUUAAGAAAUAAAGCGAGCAACUAAUUAAAACUGUUUUAUGUUGGAAUACGAAUAAACAAAAUUUAUCGAGUGCUUUGAAGGUGGUUUUUUCGUUUGUUUGUGUAAUAGUGACCGUCAAUGGGUACAACCUGCAUUUUCGCAUAUGUAGUAAAAAAACUUUGCGGCUCCAACAAGGACUUAUAAAUACGUUUGUAUGUAUGUAAUACUCAUUAAAGUUGCCCCUGGCGUCGUAACUACAAACAUAUGUAUACAAAUAUGUGUAUUAUAUAUCUAAUAGCCUGAGCCCAAAUGUGUUUAAAAUGUGUGCGUUUAACAGUAUAGAUACAAUAAUUUGCAUAUAAUUUAUAUAUAUUAUAUUUAGUAUUUAGGACGAAAAUCAUGCAUCUAUGCUUAUACAUAGUUAUACAUAGAUAUAUAUAUUUUUCAUGUACACAUCCAUACCUCAUAUAUAUUUAAAUAUUACAUAAAUAUAAGCGUAUAAAAAUGUUCGUAAGUGCAAAUAUGUGACCAUUCAUAUGUAUGUACAUGUAAUAAUAUCUCGCAAGAAUCUAUCUAGGCAGGCAAACGUUAUUACAACGCAACGAAAACGUGGGUGGUGUUCGAAUAGAAGAAAUAACCGUAUAUUUUAUAUAUAUGGAUUAUAUAUAUUUGUAUUUAUAUAUAUAUAUAUAUAUAUAUAUAUUAUGUAUAUCUCUAUAUAAGAACUUGAAAAUUUGUUCCGCAUAUGUUUCGGAAUAAAAUAAUUAAAAAAGUCAGCACAAUCUAGUAUCUAAUUGAUACUUUUCUCUCUAAAGUAUUAAUUGGAUACUAUUUCACUAAGCCACAGAGAGUGGUUGUCAUUUAGCAGGUCAUAAAAAUCAAAACAAACUGCUUUUGCUCUAUGUACAAAAUUUUCGUAGGAAGUAAUAAAGACUGGAAGAGGAA
rnacentral:lncRNA from 1 species